rnacentral:lncRNA from 1 species
GCUCUUAAUGCGCCAGUUAUUGCUCCCAACAUCCCACCGGGUCUGUCCUUGCCAAAAUCCAGCUGCUCUCCUGUGUUUCCCUUCCUCAAUCUCUGCUGUUCCAAGAGCUUCUCCUGGGCUCUAUGAGGAGCUGCAGCCUGGCAAAGGGGGCUGAGGUUUGUCCCUACGAUGCUGCGGCUGGAAUAGUCUAUCCUGAUCAAUCCCAGCUGCGGAUCUCCCCUCCUGCUGCCCAGCUCCCAGCACGUUUGGAAGCUCGACAUCUGUGGGCUGAGCUGUUUGUCACUGGGUUGGUGUCUGGAAGCAGCUGCUUUGAUGCACAAAGGCUGUUGCAGGGGCAGUGAAGCGGUGACUGUUGGAAGGGUCUUUCCUAUGUGGAACAGCAAAACUAAAACCAACUCGGGGACGGUGAAGCCGCUGUGAUGGCCCCAGUGUGAUGUAGCCACACACUGGAGCUUAGGAACUCAUUGUGGCUGAUCAGCAGGGUCACCGUCCCAGAGCCUCGGGGUACCCAGGGUGUCACUGCACCACCCACCUCUAACUCGGUUUUGGAAGGGUGAGAUGGGAGCAUCUGUGACGGCCAAAGGCACCUGGGGACAUCUCCUUACCCAAAUACCCCAAAUAACCCCCCCGAGGAGUGCACGGGGCCACCUGCAGCACCCGUCUGCAGCACAGCCCUUCUCCUCACCCAUAAGCAGGGCUCAGAAAGGGUUUGGAAGGCUGAGAACUGCGUCAGCAGCCACCUCUGGGCUGUGUUGAAUGUCUCGCUGUGGUGAACACACGGGAGGGUUGUUGGCUUCUUCGUUUUCAUGUUGGAAUAUUUAUAUCUGCCUUUUGCAGCGGGCCAUGACUUACCAUCUCCAGCAGGCAGGAUUAAAGUGAUGAGACAGAUGUAGUUCAUGAAGUUAUUUGCACUUGAUUGAAAGAAAAGAAAAUGUAUCUGAACUUUGUAAAAAGAAAUGUUUGCAUUUUGUAUUGUCUUUUUUUAAUUAUUAAAUGGAAUUUCUUGGUGUUGAUCUUUCAAAAAAAACCUGGCUCCAACACUUGUUUUAAAGGUUUCUAACAGCAGGAUCCAAAGCUGUUUUCAUUGUUUUGCUCCCUCAGAUGCUAAGACGAGCUCUUUUCAAGGGCAUAAGGGUUUUUUUUCCCUAGAAGCUUAAAUCCUGCACACUUCCAUAAGCUCAACAGUCAUUACACAAUAUAAUUAUUUAUAUACAUUAACUAGCUGCAGAACAGCUCAUUUUUAGCCCAGAAUGUGGGACCAGCUCAGAGGGAAGCAAAGGGGAUGAAAGACCCUCUUGACCUGGGUCUGCUCCUCCCAGUGCCAUAGGGCAGCUGAAAGCACCUAUCAAGUCCUCAAGAGCUGCUGCUGGGGGAGAUCCCACGGCCCAGUCACUGCUGGUGGAGGGACCUCUACAUGCAAACCCAGCCCAGCCCUGGCCUGCAGCAAGGACAAC